UACAGAGGCGCCAAGCGUUGUCCGGAUUGACUGGGCGUAAAGCGCACGCAGGCGGAUGCGCGCGUGGGGUGUGAAAUCUGGCCGCUUAACGGCCAGGCGCCAUCCCAUACGGCGCGUCUGGAGUGAUGCAGAGGUCGAUGGAAUUGCCGGUGUAGUGGUGAAAUGCGUAGAGAUCGGCAGGAACACCCAGGGGGAAACCAGUCGACUGGGCAUCUACUGACGCUGAGGUGCGAGAGCGUGGGGAGCGAACCGG
rnacentral:rRNA from 1 species